UCUCCUGGAAAACGGGUGGUAAUGCCGGAUGCUCCAUCACACCGCAUGGUGUGUUGGGAAAGCCUUUGCGGCAUGGGAUGGGGUCGCGUCCUAUCAGCUUGAUGGCGGGGUAACGGCCCACCAUGGCUUCGACGGGUAGCCGGCCUGAGAGGGCGACCGGCCACAUUGGGACUGAGAUACGGCCCAGACUCCUACGGGAGGCAGCAGUGGGGAAUAUUGCACAAUGGGCGCAAGCCUGAUGCAGCGACGCCGCGUGAGGGAUGGAGGCCUUCGGGUUGUAAACCUCUUUUGUUAGGGAGCAAGGCACUUUGUGUUGAGUGUACCUUUCGAAUAAGCACCGGCUAACUACGUGCCAGCAGCCGCGGUAAUACGUAGGGUGCAAGCGUUAUCCGGAAUUAUUGGGCGUAAAGGGCUCGUAGGCGGUUCGUCGCGUCCGGUGUGAAAGUCCAUCGCUUAACGGUGGAUCCGCGCCGGGUACGGGCGGGCUUGAGUGCGGUAGGGGAGACUGGAAUUCCCGGUGUAACGGUGGAAUGUGUAGAUAUCGGGAAAGAACACC
rnacentral:rRNA from 1 species